UACGUAGGGUGCGAGCGUUGUCCGGAAUUAUUGGGCGUAAAGGGCUCGUAGGCGGUUUGUCACGUCGGGAGUGAAAACACGGGGCUUAACCCCGUGCCUGCUUCCGAUACGGGCAGACUAGAGGUAUGCAGGGGAGAACGGAAUUCCUGGUGUAGCGGUGAAAUGCGCAGAUAUCAGGAGGAACACCGGUGGCGAAGGCGGUUCUCUGGGCAUUACCUGACGCUGAGGAGCGAAAGUGUGGGGAGCGAACAGG
rnacentral:rRNA from 1 species